rnacentral:rRNA from 1 species
UUCCAGACUCCUACGGGAGGCAGCAGUGAGGAAUAUUGGUCAAUGGACGAGAGUCUGAACCAGCCAAGUAGCGUGAAGGAUGACUGCCCUAUGGGUUGUAAACUUCUUUUAUAUGGGAAUAAAACAGGGUAUGCAUACCCUCUUGUAUGUACCAUAUGAAUAAGGAUCGGCUAACUCCGUGCCAGCAGCCGCGGUAAUACGGAGGAUGCGAGCGUUAUCCGGAUUUAUUGGGUUUAAAGGGUGCGUAGGCGGAAUAUCAAGUCAGCGGUAAAAAUUCGGGGCUCAACCCCGUCGUGCCGUUGAAACUGAUGUUCUUGAGUGGGCGAGAAGUAUGCGGAAUGCGUGGUGUAGCGGUGAAAUGCAUAGAUAUCGCGCAGAACUCCGAUUGCGAAGGCAGCAUGCCGGCUCCACACUGACGCUGAGGCACGAAAGCGUGGGUAUCGAACAGGAUUAGAUACCCUUGUA